rnacentral:lncRNA from 1 species
GUAAAUAGUACACACAAAUGUCAAUGUGUUACUUGUGAUUGAAUCUAUUUAUGUGCAUUGCCAGAGUAAGAGUAAUGCUAUUUGUACAUCAUGAUUAUAAAUUGAUGUACAUAAUGAUGAUAUGAAAGAGAGAGAGAGAAAAAACAGAGAAGUAAAAAAGAAGAAAAGAAAGUUAAGUUAAAAGUCGGUUAAUAUAAGCCACAUCAUCAUUCUGUACGUUAAACCAUGAUGUACAAAUAACAUUAUUCGCAUCGCAAAUAGUCAAAGCAGUACAGACAAUCAAUUCCAGUAAUAUAAUAUUUGAACAAUAUAACGGAUACAAAACUUUCCAACCUCUUUAUCUAUACAACAUCACAAAUUACAUCAAAAAAUUUCCAAAAAUAGCAUGUUCAUGAUAAGAGUAUCAGUAAACUUCUUGUGUCAAAGGCCAUGUGAUUAAGUAAACCCAACUGGAUACGCAGGAUUUACUACCAUACCAUGAUAUUGCUAUAAACUGAUAUAGCCCAUAGCCCGAAAAGAAUUAUUAGGAAGCACCGAUUGAAGAACUUAACACCUGAAUCUGCAUAAAUAUGAAUAAAUAUACAUUAAUUGACACACCAGUUUUGCUGUUUUACUAAGGUAGGGGUUUAUUAGGUGGGUCCCGCGACACACCAGUUUUGCUGUUUUACCAGGUUAGGGGUUUAGUAGGUGGGUCGGACCCACAUGUAUAAAAAGUUUAACCUCCCCUGUUGUGAGUAUUCGGUACCCUGUACCCCAAGCCUCACUCUUGACACACUAAGCACAUUUUCUGGUACGCAGUACCCGAUCAUAUUGGUUGUACUAGGAACAAAAUAUCAUCCUAAAAAUUGUCCAUUCUGUUUAAGAUACCAAACCAAAUAAGCUGUAAAGGGAAAGAACGCUAGUUGUACUCAAAAUUAAAGACAGUAAUACCUUAUUUACGAGUAAGUUCACUUGUUCUCUGUACAUCUCCUUCAAAUCAACAAUAUCUGCACGUAGUUCUUCCAGCUAUGUACAACAUAUCAACUUUAGCNAAUUUCUAUUCAAGCGACAUAUGCAAUAUAUUU